rnacentral:rRNA from 1 species
AAAAGUCGUAACAAGGUUUCCGUAGGUGAACCUGCGGAAGGAUCAUUGUCGGAACCUGCCCCGCAAAACGACCCGCGAACCAGUUUCCCAUCGCAGGCCGGGGGGAGGAGCACCCGCCCCUCGGCCAGCCGUUGGGAGCGGCCCAGUGCGGUCCCUCCCCUCGGUGCACGAACAAAACCCCGGCGCGGGACGCGCCAAGGACCAUGAGAACAAAGAGCGUGCCCCAUCGGCCCCGGGAACGGGGCGCAGGGGGCGUCUUCUUUCGCAAUGAGCAAAAAA